CUUCCGGUCAAUGAGGUUGAUGUACCUCAUUGAUUGGAAGGGUUUCCUUCCGGUCGAUGAGGUACAUGUACCUCGUUGACCGGAAGGAAACCCUUCUGGUCAGGGAGGUACAUCAACCUCUUUGACCGGAAG
rnacentral:miRNA from 1 species